GGCUGGUAAGAGUGCGAUAGUGUUUACAACUAAUUGAUCACAGCCAGUUACAGACUUCUUUUUUCCUUCUCCAGUCCCACUGCUUCACUUGACUAGUCUUAC
rnacentral:Y_RNA from 1 species